UAAAACUGAGCAUUUACUAAACUGAGGUAAACAGCAUCGAGCAUCAUCUGCUAUAAAACAAACUACAUUUUCCUAAUAAUUAAGAUGGCACAUGCAUGAAAUACCCAUUGAACCAGUCAUGAGAAAUCUGAAUCUUCGUCGGGUUGCCGUUGUGUAAAUAGGAGGCACUUUUGUCUAUGUAACCUUGAGAGCACAGCACCGAGCAUGAGAAAUCUGAACCUUCCUCAAGUUUCCUUUGUGUAAAGAGGAAAAUUGAAAUCCUUUGCCACACAUCUGAACCUUCAGAGAAGCUGCUAUCAGGGUUACAUAGAGGCAACAAAAACUACUCUCAAAAUUUUAUUGAUAGGCACAAAUAUUGGUCCUGAGAACAAAAUAGACAGUCAUGUUAUUAUUUGACAAAAGAAUCUAGCAUAUUUACCUCAGUUUAACUAAGCUUCCAACGGAGACUAACAAAUUAUGUAGCCAUCAUUCCAAAAGCUUCACGAGCAUCAAAAGGUGGAGCACC
rnacentral:lncRNA from 1 species